GUGGGGAAUAUUGGACAAUGGGCGAAAGCCUGAUCCAGCCAUGCCGCGUGUGUGAAGAAGGUCUUCGGAUUGUAAAGCACUUUAAGUUGGGAGGAAGGGCAGUAAGUUAAUACCUUGCUGUUUUGACGUUACCGACAGAAUAAGCACCGGCUAACUUCGUGCCAGCAGCCGCGGUAAUACGAAGGGUGCAAGCGUUAAUCGGAAUUACUGUGCGUAAAGCGCGCGUAGGUGGUUUUGUAAGUUGGAAGUGAAAUCCCCGGGCUCAACCUGGGAACUGCUUUCAAAACUGCUGAGCUAGAGUACGGUAGAGGGUGGUGGAAUUUCCUGUGUAGCGGUGAAAUGCGUAGAUAUAGGAAGGAACACCAGUGGCGAAGGCGACCACCUGGACUGAUACUGACACUGAGGUGCGAAAGCGUGGGGAGCAAACAGGAUUAGAUACCCUUGUAGUCC
rnacentral:rRNA from 1 species